rnacentral:rRNA from 1 species
CUAAUACCGGAUGAUGAACGUAAGUACCAAAGUAUUUAUCCGCCCAAGGAUGAGCCCGCGUAAGAUUAGCUAGUUGGUGGGGUAAAGGCCUACCAAGGCGACGAUCUUUAGCUGGUCUGAGAGGAUGAUCAGCCACACCGGGACUGAGACACGGCCCAGACUCCUACGGGAGGCAGCAGUGGGGAAUAUUGGACAAUGGGCGAAAGCCUGAUCCAGCAAUGCCGCGUGAGUGAUGAAGGCCUUAGGGUUGUAAAGCUCUUUUACCAGGGAUGAUAAUGACAGUACCUGGAGAAUAAGCUCCGGCUAACUCCGUG